CAGCAUCAGCCCAGGGAAAAAAACAAUAAUUUCCUCUUGUUCCAACAGCGUUUGCAGAAAUGUAAAGCAGCUGCCAAAGGCUUUGGUGCCCGCCAAGCUCCAGCUCGUGGGGAGACAAAGUUCAGCCCGGAGCUCGUGGGAUGCUGGAGGGGAUCUGCACAGGAACAAGAAGUUCAUUUUCCCUGCCACCAGCUCUCUGGAGGGUCCCUCACCUCCGGGUAGAUCCCAGUUUCUGCUCGGCUCUUCCCAAUGCAGCUCGUCCCUGGGACAGGCACCGACCUGCAUCUCCCCAGAGCCUUUCCAGGCACCAGCUGUGUGCUGCCCUGCAGGGUCAGGAGGUUCUUGUGCAGACAGGAAAAGGAUGUGUUGCAACAUGUGCCCAGAACAGGGAAGUGGAAGCUCUUGUUAUUUCAAGCCACAGCAGGAUGGGGAGGAAGCAACCGAGCCAGGAAGCCCAGAGGUUCCCCCAGUGCUGCUGACUCCAGCUGUGUACCAAAGGGAACAUCUGCCUGAGGAGCAGCCCUACAGCACAGAGGGUGCAGGAGCCCCAGCAGCAGAGGGUAGGGAU